rnacentral:rRNA from 1 species
GUGCCAGCAGCCGCGGUAAUACGAGGGGUCCUAGCGUUGUUCGGAAUCAUUGGGCGUAAAGAGCUCGUAGGUGGCUUAGUAAGUCAGGUGUGAAAGCCCAAGGCUCAACCUUGGAAGUGCACUUGAAACUGCAUAGCUUGAGUACGGUAGAGGUGAGUGGAAUUCCUGGUGUAGUGGUGAAAUACGUAGAUAUCAGGAGGAACAUCGGUGGCGAAGGCGGCUCACUGGACCAGUACUGACACUGAGGAGCGAAAGCAUGGGGAUCAAACAGGAUUAGAAACCCCCGUAGUCC